UAGGGAAUCUUCGGCAAUGGGGGGAACCCUGACCGAGCAACGCCGCGUGAGUGAAGAAGGUUUUCGGAUCGUAAAGCUCUGUUGUUAAGGAAGAACGAGUGUGAGAAUGGAAAGUUCAUACUGUGACGGUACUUAACCAGAAAGGGACGGCUAACUACGUGCCAGCAGCCGCGGUAAUACGUAGGUCCCGAGCGUUAUCCGGAUUUAUUGGGCGUAAAGCGAGCGCAGGCGGUUAGAUAAGUCUGAAGUUAAAGGCAGUGGCUCAACCAUUGUAGGCUUUGGAAACUGUUUAACUUGAGUGCAGAAGGGGAGAGUGGAAUUCCAUGUGUAGCGGUGAAAUGCGUAGAUAUAUGGAGGAACACCGGUGGCGAAAGCGGCUCUCUGGUCUGUAACUGACGCUGAGGCUCGAAAGCGUGGGGAGCGAACAGG
rnacentral:rRNA from 1 species